rnacentral:rRNA from 1 species
AUGGCGGACCUGAGCUACACCCGCGGCGGUGCCGGAGGAGGGGAGGGCUGCGGCCGCGACGCGAGGGGAGGGGAGGGGAGGGGGAUGGCUGCGCGGGGCGGGGAGAGCGAGGGAGCGUCAGAAUCCGACGAGUCCGAGGCAGAGAGGGAGACCCUAGAGGCCAUGGCGCAGCGGGAGGUGGGCGCCGUCUGUGGAGUGGAGGGCGGCGCAGUUGGUGGCGGCCGGCGCCGGAGUGGCGGCCGGCGCAGAGCUCAAGGGAGCGGGGAGCGGCUCAGAGCGGCGCAGAGCUCCGAAGUCCCCAACUCGCGCACUUCUUCCGCUGUCUUUAGCAUGAACAAUAUAAAUGCGCACAUUUGGUUUAAAAUUUGUUCAUAUAUAAGACCAAUAUAA